UACGAAGGGGGCUAGCGUUGCUCGGAAUUACUGGGCGUAAAGCGCACGUAGGCGGCUUUCUAAGUCGGGGGUGAAAUCCUGGAGCUCAACUCCAGAACUGCCUUUGAUACUGGAGAGCUUGUGGUCCGGGAGAGGUGAGUGGAACUGCGAGUGUAGAGGUGAAAUUCGUAGAUAUUCGCAAGAACACCAGUGGCGAAGGCGGCUCACUGGCCCGGUACUGACGCUGAGGUGCGAAAGCGUGGGGAGCAAACAGG
rnacentral:rRNA from 1 species